ACCAGCACACAGUCAGCUGCCCAGGCGACGUGUCUGGCUCAGUGUUACUGUGCUGGAAGAGGAAGUCCCUGCACAUGUCCUCAGCCCCACAGGUUCUGUUUUAGAACCUUCUGUUGCUGAGUGGCUGCAGGGCGAGGCCCGACGAGAGUGGCCCGUUCCUGGACCCUCGCCGGAACGGGCCUAGUGCUGGGCCGCACACG
rnacentral:snoRNA from 1 species